AUGGCAUAUGAAGAAGGAUUCCAUACCCUGUGUCCACCACCUUCUAGCUGUGCGCUCCUAAGAAGGUUGUCUGGUCACUCUGAGCGUCAGGUCACUCUGUCGUCAUCUGUAAGAUGGGACCAUCGAAUCUCCUUGCGCACACGGCGUAGAGGCUCAAUGAGGUCAUAUACUAAGGUUAGUUGGGGGCACCCCUUAGGCACCUCUCACGUGUGCUCUGGGCCAGCUGGCGGCUCCCGGGAACCCACAACGCCCUGCCUUUUCCUAGAGACACUGAGAUCCACAGGCUCAGAUGCAAGUCUGAAACCAAUAAAGACCCAUGAGUUCCUCGGCUUGGAAACUCCUCUUUGUGUCUCAUUUACCGGGGAAGAGAGACAGCGUUGAACAAGAACACUCACGAACGUGGCAUUUUCAGUGAUCCCAUAAAAUCCCAUGGGGAUUGGUCUAUCCCAAACUGGAAUUCCCUGGGUGGGAGGAGAGGGAGGUGGGACGAAACUGGGACACACACAUUCUGCAGACAGUAGCUGUAUGUGAUUCUCAACAGGGAGGAGAGACGCUUUGCAGAAAACGUCAGAGCCACAGGCGUUUUCGCCCAGAGGAAGAUAGCGCAGUUGGCUUGGGAGCUCCUGGCCUUCACGCUCACCGACGUGCUAACACUCCAUUUCCCACAGGCCAGUGCGGUUUGUCACAUUGCUAUCGACGUGAUUCUCUUUAAUCGUUUUUUUCCCUUAAUGAUAGUUUAAAAAAACACACACACAAAGAAACUGAAUUUCCUGUAAGCCGACCUGCUAUCAGUUUUAGGCAGUGGCAAAAACUCACAUGAACAGGCUAAACAUGGAGCACGUGGGGGCUGAAUUCCGUAUCAGAAGUAGACUUCACCGUCCAUAUGCACAAAGAACAGCAAAUCAUCCCUCUAACGAGGGAAGCUUGGUUGGUGAGAUUACCUCUUUGUAAGAGGAAGAAGAAUAUCCUAUCAUUUACCAAGGAGGAGAGCAUUGUACAAGGGUCUGGGUAAACCUUAGCAGCCCUGCAGGAAAGUUCUGCAUGAGAAUGAAAGGAAGGAACAAAAGGAAAAUACCUCCAAGAGGUGUGAUCUUAUACAUUCUAUUUUGGUAGCUAGAUAACGAGGAGGCAUAACAAAAAUACGGGAAAGCUUAAGUAAAAGAUGAGGCUCGGGAGCUCCUGCAUGCAGACAUUCAAAUCUAAUUCUCACAUCUUAGUCUGUGGUCCUUUCAAUGUAGAGGCGCUAAGAAUGACAGCAAAGACAGCAAGAACAGAAUUCUUGUUACCUUGUGAUUUUUGUGCUUAAUUUCAGGGUUUUGUUUGUUUGUUUGGUUGGUUGGUUUUGUUUUUCGGUGAGCUCUUUUGGUCGGAUUGAUUAAUU
rnacentral:lncRNA from 12 species